rnacentral:rRNA from 1 species
CCUAUCAGCCUGAAGGCGCCGGAUCUCGUCUGAUCUCGGAAGCUAAGCAGGGUCGGGCCUGGUUAGGA